rnacentral:rRNA from 1 species
UACGAAGGGGGCUAGCGUUGUUCGGAAUCACUGGGCGUAAAGGGCGCGUAGGCGGCUUUAUAAGUCGGGGGUGAAAUCCUGGGGCUCAACUCCAGAACUGCCUUCGAUACUGGCGAUCUUGAGUCCGGAAGAGGUGAGUGGAACUCCUAGUGUAGAGGUGGAAUUCGUAGAUAUUAGGAAGAACACCAGUGGCGAAGGCGGCUCACAGGUCCGGUACUGACGCUGAGGUGCGAAAGCGUGGGGAGCAAACAGG